GAGUUUGAUCUUGGCUCAGGACGAACGCUGGCGGCGUGCUUAACACAUGCAAGUCGAGCGGUAAGGCCCCUUCGGGGUACGACGAGCGGCGAACGGGUGAGUAACACGUGAGCAACCUACCCUCAACUUUGGGAUAAGCCUCGGAAACGGGGUCUAAUACCGGAUAAUACUACGGGCCGUCAUGGUUUGUGGUUGAAAGUUCUGGCGGUUGGGGAUGGGCUCGCGGCCUAUCAGCUUGUUGGUGGGGUAAUGGCCUACCAAGGCGUCGACGGGUAGCCGGCCUGAGAGGGCGACCGGCCACACUGGGACUGAGACACGGCCCAGACUCCUACGGGAGGCAGCAGUGGGGAAUAUUGCGCAAUGGACGAAAGUCUGACGCAGCAACGCCGCGUGAGGGAUGACGGCCUUCGGUUGU
rnacentral:rRNA from 1 species